GACUGCAUGGCCUAAUAGGUAAGUCUUCUGGCUUCGGAUCAGAAAACUGAGGGUUUGAGUCCCUCCAUGGUUG